AGAGUUUGAUCCUGGCUCAGGAUGAACGCUACGNNAGGCUUAAUACAUGCAAGUCGUGGGGCAGCACAGGUAGCAAUACUGGGUGGCGACCGGCAAACGGGUGCGGAACACGUACGCAACCUUCCUUUAACUGGAGAAUAGCCCGGGGAAACCCGGAUUAAUACUCCGUAACAUUAUGAAGUGGCAUCACUUUAUAAUUAUAGCUCCGGCGGUUGAAGAUGGGCGUGCGUCUGAUUAGGUAGUUGGCGGGGUAACGGCCCACCAAGCCUACGAUCAGUAACUGGUGUGAGAGCACGACCAGUCACACGGGCACUGAGACACGGGCCCGACUCCUACGGGAGGCAGCAGUAAGGAAUAUUGGUCAAUGGACGCAAGUCUGAACCAGCCAUGCCGCGUGGAGGAUGAAGGUCCUCUGGAUUGUAAACUUCUUUUAUUUGGGAAGAAACCACCGAUUUCUAUUGGUGUUGACGGUACCAGAUGAAUAAGCACCGGCUAACUCCGUGCCAGCAGCCGCGGUAAUACGGAGGGUGCAAGCGUUAUCCGGAUUCACUGGGUUUAAAGGGUGCGUAGGCGGGUUGGUAAGUCCGUGGUGAAAUCUCCAAGCUUAACUUGGAAACUGCCGUGGAUACUAUCAAUCUUGAAUAUAGUGGAGGUGAGCGGAAUAUGUCAUGUAGCGGUGAAAUGCUUAGAUAUGACAUAGAACACCCAUUGCGAAGGCAGCUCGCUACACUAUUAUUGACGCUGAGGCACGAAAGCGUGGGGAUCAAACAGGAUUAGAUACCCUAGUAGUCC
rnacentral:rRNA from 1 species